rnacentral:lncRNA from 1 species
GUUUUAAAAUGAAGAUGCAAGGUUUCUUGUUAAUGAUUUCUAUGAUUAUUUUAUCUACACCACCAACUUACUGUGCCAUGAGUGCUGUAAACCAGAAAACAAGUACUUUCACAGUCAAAAAUGGAGAAAACAUAAUGUCGUCGUGUAACACAACAGAUGUCUUUUCAAAAUCCGAAUCAGCGUGCGGAGCGAGGUGUGUAUUACAUGAUGCAUGUUGUGUGGCCAGUUUUUCUAAAGAAUCUUUAAUAUGUCGUCUCGACAUAAGUGAAAACUGUUGUGUAGCCACCAACACUGCCAUCGGUUGGAGCGUUAUGACAAGAAACCAGCACAGUAAGUUCAAUGAAGUUUUAAUAACUAUAACUGAUAAUUCAUAUAAUAAACCUCAUCAACCAGUUCCCUCUUGUCUCUGUCUGUUUCUUAAGAUUGUAUAACAUGACAAUUUAUUAGUCAACAUUGUAUGUAUAUUUCAUGAUAUGUUCCUUACGUCGUAACUACAAUUCCCUUCAAAUAAGACUAUUUACCGGACGACCAGUGCCACAUGUGGAACAUAUUCUGCUUACCUUUCUGGAGCACCUGAGAUCACCCCUAGUUUUUAAAUGAGGUUCGUGUGGCAUAUUCUUUAGUUUUCUAUGUUGUGUGUACUAUUGUUUGUAUGUUUGUCUUUUUCAUUUUUAGCCAUGUCGUUGUCAGUUUUAUUUUCAAUUUAUGAGUUUGACUAUCCCUUUGGUAUCUUUCG